ACGGGUGAGUAAUACGUGAGUAACCUGCCCUUGACUCUGGGAUAAGCCUGGGAAACUGGGUCUAAUACUGGAUACUACCUCGCGCCGCAUGGUGGGUGGUGGAAAGGGUUUUACUGGUUUUGGAUGGGCUCACGGCCUAUCAGCUUGUUGGUGGGGUAAUGGCUCACCAAGGCGACGACGGGUAGCCGGCCUGAGAGGGUGACCGGCCACACUGGGACUGAGACACGGCCCAGACUCCUACGGGAGGCAGCAGUGGGGAAUAUUGCACAAUGGGCGGAAGCCUGAUGCAGCGACGCCGCGUGAGGGAUGACGGCCUUCGGGUUGUAAACCUCUUUCAGUAGGGAAGAAGCGAGAGUGACGGUACCUGCAGAAGAAGCGCCGGCUAACUACGUGCCAGCAGCCGCGGUAAUACGUAGGGCGCAAGCGUUGUCCGGAAUUAUUGGGCGUAAAGAGCUCGUAGGCGGUUUGUCGCGUCUGCUGUGAAAGCCCGGGGCUCAACCCCGGGUCUGCAGUGGGUACGGGCAGACUAGAGUGCAGUAGGGGAGACUGGAAUUCCUGGUGUAGCGGUGAAAUGCGCAGAUAUCAGGAGGAACACCGAUGGCGAAGGCAGGUCUCUGGGCUGUUACUGACGCUGAGGAGCGAAAGCAUGGGGAGCGAACAGGAUUAG
rnacentral:rRNA from 1 species